GUGCCAGCAGCCGCGGUAAUACGGAGGGUCCGAGCGUUGUUCGGAAUUACUGGGCGUAAAGCGCACGUAGGCGGCUGGGUAAGUCUCACUGUGAAAGCCCGGGGCUCAACCCCGGGAGGCCAGGGGAUACUGCUCGGCUGGAGACAGGCAGAGGCUGGUGGAAUUCCGGGUGUAGCGGUGGAAUGCGUAGAGAUCCGGAGGAACACCUGAGGCGAAGGCGGCCAGCUGGGCCUGAUCUGACGCUGAGGUGCGAAAGCGUGGGGAGCGAACAGGAUUAGAAACCCCGGUAGUCC
rnacentral:rRNA from 1 species